GUCAGACUCGGCAAAAAUGCCACAUUUUUGCUCUGCGUUUGGGUGUACGAAUGACAGAAGUGUUAAAACCAAGCAGAAGGGAAUAACAUUCCACAGUUUCCCAAAAAACACAGAUAGGAGACGGGCAUGGGUAGCAGCAGUGAGGAGAAAGGACUUUGUCCCGAGUGACUCCUCAGUCAUCUGCAGCUGUCACUUCAGACCUGAGGACUUCGACAGGACUGGGCAGAC